AGUGAACGCUGGCGGUAGGCCUAACACAUGCAAGUCGAACGGCAGCACAGGAGAGCUUGCUCUCUGGGUGGCGAGUGGCGGACGGGUGAGGAAUACAUCGGAAUCUACUCUGUCGUGGGGGAUAACGUAGGGAAACUUACGCUAAUACCGCAUACGACCUACGGGUGAAAGCAGGGGAUCUUCGGACCUUGCGCGAUUGAAUGAGCCGAUGUCGGAUUAGCUAGUUGGCGGGGUAAAGGCCCACCAAGGCGACGAUCCGUAGCUGGUCUGAGAGGAUCACCGGCCACCAUGGAAAUGCGACACGGUCCAAACUCCUACGGGAGGCAGCAGUGGGGAAUAUUGGACAAUGGGCGCAAGCCUGAUCCAGCCAUACCGCGUGGGUGAAGAAGGCCUUCGGGUUGUAAUGCCCUUUUGUUGGGAAAGAAAUCCAGCUGGCUAAUACCCGGUUGGGAUGACGGUACCCAAAGAAUAAGCACCGGCUAACUUCGUGCCAGCAGCCGCCGUAA
rnacentral:rRNA from 1 species